ensembl:lncRNA PCBP1-AS1 PCBP1 antisense RNA 1
GGUCACAAGAUUGCGCCAACCCUUACAUGGUCCUUAAAAAAAAAACCUUCUGACACUGCAGUAGUGAAAAUGAAGCGCACGAUGGGCGGAAGCUGUGAGUCCGGCAAAGUUUUAAAAUGAUGACGUAUUUUAUUAACUCUAACGGCACUGGCGGGUGACUGAAAAUACUAGUGCUGUGUAUGCGGGAUAGACAUUAUUUUCCUGCCCUACAUGAGGGGCUCGUGCGCGGAACGACAUGGGCAGCCCCGGCGGAAACUGCAGGCACAAGCCGGGACGCCGCGGGUUUAAAACAUGCGCGUGAGAGGAAGACAAACAUAAAGAUGAAGUGCUUAAUUCAAGGUCACACAAUGUCGGGGAUGGACCUCCAGAUUUCCUUACUGGUGAGACGUGGUCUUGUAACACAGUGGUUAAGAAUGUGACUUUGGAGCCAGCCUGCUAGGGGCUGAAUUCUGACUCAGCCAUUUACUAACUGUGUGACCUUAGGCUGGAGUGCAAUGGCAUGAUCUCGGCUCAUCACAACCUCUGCUUCCUGGGUUCAAGCGAUUCUCCUGCCUCAGCCUCCCGAGUACCUGGGACUACAGGCACUCGCCACCAUGCCCGGCUGAUUUUUGUAUUUUUAAUAGAGAUGGUUUCACUAUGUUGGCCAGGCUGGUCUCGAACUCCUGACCUUGUGAUCUGCCCACCUCAGCCUCGAAAAGUGCUGGGAUUACAGGCGUGAGCCACUGCGCCCAGCCUUGUAUUUUUUUUCAGUUUGGGUAGCUGUCCCUAAUUCAUUUGUUAAAGGAGAAGCAAGAGCAAGAACCUUUAAUCUGUUCUCCUCUUCCCUAAUUUGAAAGUAGCUUGUUAUUUUGAAUAUCACUUUCUCUGAAAUAGCACAUCUCCAUCUCAGAGAAUGGAUUUAAUGUUUGGAUACAGCCAAAAGUCAUUUCAUUACCAAACCAUGGGGUGAAUAUACCAUGUAAAGCAGUUUGGGAUCAGAACUCACAGUCUGAAUUGUAAGUGAUGAGACUGCUGUCUCUCUGCUACAGCUUCUUGGCUGGCUCUGAAGGCUCUUUGAAGGCAGAUCCUAACAAGGGGACUGCUUUGAAGGGCCAUUGUUCAUUUGGAAUGAUAAAGUCUAUGUUGUUCAAAAAACAAAUGCUUGUAGCAGGUAUUUUUUCACUCCAGACUGAGAAUAUUGGUGGGAUAUUGAUAAGGGGUACUGAAUGGUAAUAAACAUGUGCUCUAGCUCUGUGCUAGUCAGCUUAUUUCAGAACUCUAGUUUGAUUCAGUUUCUUGCCUCUGACUCAAAAUGGAGGGAGAGUGAUUUUUACAUAAGAGAACACACCCACAUAUCCUUUUGGCAGCAGCUACCUGCCAGAGAUGUUGAAGAAGAGUAGCCAACCUUUACACAGCAGAUAUUGUGUGCCAGUCAUAGUCCUAAGUAUAAUACCUUACAUGUAUAAACUUCUUAUAAGGUUGGUGCUCUGUACCGAAUUGAAUAGUAUCCCCCAAAAUUCAUGUUGUCCCAGAACCUAUGAAAGUGAUCUUACUUGAGGGAGGGGGGAGGGGGGAGGGAUAGCAUUAGGAGAUAUACCUAAUGCUAAAUGACGAGUUAAUGGGUGUAGCACACCAGCAUGGCACAUGUAUACAUAUGUAACUAACCUGCACAUUGUGCACAUGUACCCUAAAACUUAAAGUAUAAUAAUAAUAAAAUAAAAAAAAAAAAGAAAGUGAUCUUACUUGGAAAUAAGGUCUUUGCACAUAUGAUCAAGUUGAGAUGAAGUUGUACUGGAAAGUCUGUCUAGUGACUGGUGUUGUCAUAAGAAGAGAGGGACACAGAGGGAAGAUGGCCACAUGAAGAUGGAGGCAGAGAUUGCAGUUAUGCUGCUGCAAACUAAGGAAUGGCUCUGGCCCUCCAAGGAUUGCUGAUAACCACCAGAAACUAGAAGAGACAAGGAAGGAUUCUUCCCUAGAGC